UACGUAGGGCGCAAGCGUUGUCCGGAAGCAUUGGGCGUAAAGAGCUCGUAGGCGGGCUGUUACGUCUGCUGUGAAAUCCUAGGGCUUAACCCUGGGCCUGCAGUGGAUACGGGCAGACUAGAGGUAGGUAGGGGAGAAUGGAAUUCCCGGUGUAGCGGUGAAAUGCGCAGAUAUCGGGAGGAACACCGGUGGCGAAGGCGGUUCUCUGGGCCUUACCUGACACUGAGGAGCGAAAGCGUGGGGAGCGAACAGG
rnacentral:rRNA from 1 species